rnacentral:lncRNA from 1 species
CAUAUAUAUAUACACACAUAUAUAUACACAUAUGUACAUGUAUAUAUGUAUGUGUGUAUAUAUACACAUAUAUACAUAUACAUGUAUAUAUGUGUAUAUAUACACACAUACAUAUAUACAUACACAUGUAUAUAUGUGUACAUAUACUCACAUACAUAUAUACAUACACAUGUAUAUGUGUGUGUACACACACAUAUAUACAUACACAUGUAUAUGUGUGUGUACACACACAUAUAUACAUACACAUGUAUAUGUGUGUGUACACACGCAUACAUACACAUGUAUAUGUGUGUGUGUACACACGCAUAUAUACAUACACAUGUAUAUGUGUGUGUACACACGCAUAUAUACAUACACAUGUAUAUGUGUGUGUACACACGCAUAUAUACAUACACAUGUAUAUGUGUGUGUACACACGCAUAUAUACAUACACAUGUAUAUGUGUGUGUGUACACACGCAUAUAUACAUACACAUGUAUAUGUGUGUGUGUACACACGCAUAUAUACAUACACAUGUAUAUGUGUGUGUGUACACACGCAUAUAUACAUACACAUGUAUAUGUGUGUGUACACACGCAUAUAUACAUACACAUGUAUAUGUGUGUGUGUACACACGCAUAUAUACAUACACAUGUAUAUGUGUGUGUGUACACACGCAUAUAUACAUACACAUGUAUAUGUGUGUGUGUACACACGCAUAUAUACAUACACAUGUAUAUGUGUGUGUGUACACACGCAUAUAUACAUACACAUGUAUAUGUGUGUGUGUGUACACACGCAUAUAUACAUACACAAGUAUAUGUGUGUGUGUGUACACACGCAUAUAUACAUACACAUGUAUAUGUGUGUGUGUACACCUACACAUAUAUGUAUACAUUGUGGUGCAGGGGUACAAUCAUAGCUCAUUGCACCCUUGAACUUCGGGGCUUAAGUGAUCCUGCUACCUCAGCCUCUUGAGCAGCUGGGGCAACAGGCAUGUGACACCACACCAAUAUUUUUUUUUGUUGUUUUUGAGACACGGUCUCACUCUGUCACUUAGGUUGGAGUGCAGUGGCACAAUCUCAGCUCACUGCAACCUCUGACUCCUAGGUUCAAGCAAUUCUCGUGCCUCAGCCUCCCAAGUAGCUGGGAUUAUAGACAUGUGCCACUAUGCCCAGCUAAGUUUUGUAUUUUUAGUUGAGAUAGAGUUGUGUCGUGUUGGCCAGGCUGGUUUCGAAUCCCUGGGCUGAAGUGAUCCACUUGCCUUGGCCUCCCAAAGUGCUGGGAUUACAUGUGUGAGCCACCGCGCCUAGCCCUAAUUUUUUUUUUUUUUUUAAUAUUUGUAGAGAUGAGGUCUCGCUAAUUUGCCCAGGCUGGUCCUGAACUCUUGGGUUCAAGUAAUUCUCCUGCCUCAGCCUCUCAAAGUGCUGGGAUUACAGGCAUGAGACACCGUUCCCGGCUGGUGGGAGCCAUGAUCUGUCACCCAGGCUGGAGUGCAAUGGUGUGAUCUCAGCUAGCUGAAACCUCUGCCUUCUGGAUUAAACCAAUUCUCCUGCCUCAGCCUCCUGGGUAGCUGGGAUUACAGGUGUAUACCACAACGCCCGGCUAAUUUUUUGUAUUUUUAAUAGAGACAGUGUUUCACCAUGUUGGCCAGGCUGGUCUCGAACUCCUGACCUCGUGAUCUGCCCUCUUUGGCCUCCCAAAGUCCUGGGAUUACAGGCAUGAGCCACCAUACCCAGCCACUCUUGAUUAACUUAAUGGAAAUAUUUACAGAGAUUCUUUCUCUUCUGGGUUCUAACGUCUUAUCUGUAACCUCUGCAGGUAAUACAUUUUCCUUCCUGAUGAUAGCAUUUCUAUGGUUGCUUUCACUUGCAAAUCCUCUAAUGCUUAUUUAUUCCAUUUCUGAUUGGCAUUAGACAUAAUUCUCAAUUUUUAGUGACAGCACUUCUUUUAACUUACAUAUAAAUCGACUUUGUCUUGAAAUGUGACAUUGACUAGAAGGAUGAAACUUCUAACAUGCUGUAGAACAUAGUUUGACUGGCUAAUUUAUUAUUUAGAAGAAGCUAAUAUUGCCAUUAUGAGGGACUUAGGUGACUCUGAAGAACCAGUUUCAUUUGUAAUAUUUGCAAUGUUAAAUCACAGACAUUGCCAACGUGAAAUAGUUUCCAUAUGCUGUGUUCUCAAUACACACCUUUUCCAAAGAUAUCCCAAGCUGUAGUCUUAGAAGACUGUGAUUUUUCUUAUUUGUUCUCACAGGAAUUUGGGGAGCUAUGCUGGAUCUCCAUAAAAUGAGCUCCAGAAAGACACGUGUGCACACACACACACUCACACAUGUACCACACCGCACUUGACUCUGUUUAUUUGGGACCCAUGAUUAUCAGAAGUGCUAUUUUUAACAAAUACUUCUGAGAAAUAAUCUGAACACUUAAUUGGAUGCAAAAGAGUGGCUAUUUACUAUUCUACCCUUUAAUUAGCAUAAUCAGUGUUUCCAGCAGCAAAGGCAAUUGGAAAAUCGCUUGUUUUGUUAGGUUCAUUAUUCUCCCUUAGCAUAGUGUGGCAUCAGCAUGGCUAUUAUUCUUAAAUUGCCUCUUUAAAACAAGAGCUGGUGCUUCUUACAGGCAAUUCCUAACUCUUGGGUUUUGUAGAGGGUCCAAAACUCUUUAGAACCUAUAAUUCAAGGAAAGGCUCCACUUUGGUUUUACAUUUUGUCUGGUCUCUUUGGGUGACAGAAUUUAUGUCACAAGGUGCACAUGUUUUGGGGAGGCUCAUGGACAGCCCAUCGCUCUUGUGCUUUGGUAGGAAAUAUGUGCAGUUAUGGGGAAGGAGUUAGUUACUCAUCUAGGGAACAAUUGGGUAGAAAGAGAUGGACUCCCUGUAUUUGAAAUUCAGAACUCAAGCUUGGCUCUAAGUGUUUCCUUGCUUUGCUGUGCUCCACGGGAGUCACUGAGCAGAAGGAAGCGAGUUGCCUGAGAUUCCUCAAAGCCCGCAGCCCUUUUGGAGGUUACAUUGUUAUUCUCAGAGCCUUUAUGAUACAUAAUAAAGACCUAGCUUGGACCAAC